GGAGUUAGCCGGUGCUUCUUCUGCGAGUAACGUCACAGAUGUAAGGUAUUAACUUACACCCUUUCCUCCUCGCUGAAAGUGCUUUACAACCCGAAGGCCUUCUUCACACACGCGGCAUGGCUGCAUCAGGGUUUCCCCCAUUGUGCAAUAUUCCCCACUGCUGCCUCCCGUAGGAGUCUGGGCCGUGUCUCAGUCCCAGUGUGGCUGAUCAUCCUCUCAGACCAGCUAGGGAUCGUCGCCUAGGUGAGCCUUUACCUCACCUACUAGCUAAUCCCACCUGGGCUUAUCCAUCAGCGCAAGGCCCGAAGGUCCCCUGCUUUCCCCCGUAGGGCGUAUGCGGUAUUAGCAGUCGUUUCCAACUGUUAUCCCCCACAAAUGGGCAAAUUCCCAGGCAUUACUCACCCGUCCGCCGCUCGUCAUCUUCAAAAAGCAAGCUUUUGAAAAUGUUACCGCUCGACUUGCAUGUGUUAGGCCUGCCGCCAGCGUUCAAUCUGAGCCAUAAUCAAACUACUGA
rnacentral:rRNA from 1 species